rnacentral:rRNA from 1 species
UACGUAGGUGGCAAGCGUUGUCCGGAAUUAUUGGGCGUAAGCGCGCGCAGGUGGUUUCUUAAGUCUGAUGUGAAAGCCCACGGCUCAACCGUGGAGGGUCAUUGGAAACUGGGGAACUUGAGUGCAGAAGAGGAAAGUGGAAUUCCAAGUGUAGCGGUGAAAUGCGUAGAGAUUUGGAGGAACACCAGUGGCGAAGGCGACUUUCUGGUCUGUAACUGACACUGAGGCGCGAAAGCGUGGGGAGCGAACAGG